AGCGGGAGAGCCGCGAGGUAACCGGCGCAGCGCGGGAGCCGGCAGAGGCUGGGCUGCUGAACUACCUGAAGAUGCUGGUUGUUUUUCCUCAUACGAGAGCUGGUUACUUUGGUAGAUUUUGUGCAUGAUCGCCACAGAAUAUACCCAAAAACUGCAACCUGGCCAGGCAAUGGUGGAAGAGGAAGAGGUGAAAGAGCAGAAAGAUCGUGACAAUGAGGAAACACCAUCACUUUCACACUGGCAGCGACCAGAUUAGUUACUGAUGCUGCCAGCACUUCAGAGGUGGGAUCUGCAUAUGGAAAGAGUGACCUGCAGCCAAGGCAGGAGACAUAUGUAGUGUCAGCUUACCAGAGAGAAAAGUCACACAUGAUUUCUACUACGGAGGAGUCAGAAAAGGACUUUGAUAGGGUAAAGAAAGAAACUGAAGGGUAUGCACAAUGAAAUGUUUGUUGCUUUGACAUAUCUGCCACAAAGCCUGUGGUCAAUAUUAAGGAGCAUGGAACAGUAAAGCAUCAACCAAGCACAUGGCUUUGCACACAGUUUGGAACCCAUCCUUUCCAGGAUGGAAGUAGUGGCCAAUUCCAUGAACACACCUGCAGAUCUAACCAGAGUGGCAGUAUCUGUUGGCUGAUGUCUCAGCUUCCAUUGUUCAACAAACAAAAACUAUC